rnacentral:lncRNA from 1 species
GCAGGGAUAACACCUCACACUCCUACUCUCUCAUGGCUCUCGCCUUAGUCUAUAAAUAGAGACAAACAAGAGACCCAAAGAUAAGCACAAUCUCUCUCACGCUCACUCCUUCAUAUUUAUUCAAGAUUUCUGACUUGGAUGUCGGAAGGUCCUAUCGAAACCAACUCUGAUCAAAAACUUAUUUUGUAGGUCUUGUCGUCAUUGUCCUGUAGUCACCGCCUACCUCUAGCCAAGCCAACUCGAGCUAAAAAAUUUGCAGUAACAGUUGGUGCU